AUGUUUAAAAAUUGUUGUUGCUUUAAAUUGCUAUAUGCACAUGAGGAUUUUCCAGAAUUGUUGUUUGUUGUUCCAGCCUCAUUUAAACUUGCCAAGGUAGGUAGUUUUAUUAUGCUUCACCUCUCGCCAUGUUUAAACAACAUUUAA
rnacentral:rRNA from 1 species